UACGGAGGGUGCAACCGUUGCUCGGAAUCAUUGGGCGUAAAGCGCACGUAGGCGGCCUGUUAAGUCGGGUGUGAAAGCCCUGGGCUCAACCCAGGAAGUGCACUCGAAACUGGCAGGCUUGAAUAUGGAAGAGGGUCGCGGAAUUCCCGGUGUAGAGGUGAAAUUCGUAGAUAUCGGGAGGAACACCAGUGGCGAAGGCGGCGACCUGGGCCAAUAUUGACGCUGAGGUGCGAAAGCGUGGGGAGCGAACAGG
rnacentral:rRNA from 1 species